rnacentral:rRNA from 1 species
CGCGUAGGCGGCCUGCUAAGUCUGGAGUGAAAGCCCUGCUUUCAAGGUGGGAAUUGCUUUGGAUACUGGUGGGCUGGGGUGCAGGAGAGGAAAGCGGAAUUACCGGUGUAGCGGUGAAAUGCGUAGAGAUCGGUAGGAACACCAGUGGCGAAGGCGGCUUUCUGGACUGAAACUGACGCUGAGGCGCGAAAGCGUGGGGAGCAAACA